rnacentral:rRNA from 1 species
GGCGGCGUGCUUAACACAUGCAAAUCGAACGAACCUUCGGGUUAGUGGCGGACGGGUGAGUAACGCGUGGGAAUCUGCCCUCAGGAGGGGGAUAACGACUGGAAACGGUCGCUAAUACCCCAUAUGCCGAGAGGUGAAAUGAAUUUCGCCUGAGGAUGAGCCCGCGUCUGAUUAGCUAGUUGGUGAGGUAAGAGCUCACCAAGGCGACGAUCAGUAGCUGGUCUGAGAGGAUGAUCAGCCACACUGGGACUGAGACACGGCCCAGACUCCUACGGGAGGCAGCAGUGGGGAAUUUUCCGCAAUGGGCGAAAGCCUGACGGAGCAACGCCGCGUGAGGGAUGAAGGCCUCUGGGCUGUAAACCUCUUUUCUCAAGGAAGAAGCUCUGACGGUACUUGAGGAAUAAGCCACGGCUAAUUCCGUGCCAGCAGCCGCGGUAAUACGGGAGUGGCAAGCGUUAUCCGGAAUUAUUGGGCGUAAAGCGUCCGCAGGUGGCUCUGUAAGUCUGUCGUUAAAGCGUGGAGCUCAACUCCAUUUCAGCGGUGGAAACUACAAAGCUUGAGUGUGGUAGGGGCAGAGGGAAUUCCCGGUGUAGCGGUGAAAUGCGUAGAUAUCGGGAAGGACACCAGUGGCGAAGGCGCUCUGCUGGGCCAUAACUGACACUCAUGGACGAAAGCCAGGGGAGCGAAAGGGAUUAGAUACCCCUGUAGUCCUGGCCGUAAACGAUGAACACUAGGCGUCGGGGGAAUCGACCACCUCGGUGUCGUAGCCAACGCGUUAAGUGUUCCGCCUGGGGAGUACGCACGCAAGUGUGAAACUCAAAGGAAUUGACGGGGGCCCGCACAAGCGGUGGAGUAUGUGGUUUAAUUCGAUGCAACGCGAAGAACCUUACCAGGGUUUGACAUCCUGCGAACCCCUGAGAAAUCGGGGGGUGCCUUCGGGAACGCAGUGACAGGUGGUGCAUGGCUGUCGUCAGCUCGUGUCGUGAGAUGUUGGGUUAAGUCCCGCAACGAGCGCAACCCACGUCUUUAGUUGCCAGCAUUCAGUUGGGCACUCUAGAGAGACCGCCGGUGAUAAACCGGAGGAAGGUGUGGAUGACGUCAAGUCAUCAUGCCCCUUACAUCCUGGGCUACACACGUACUACAAUGCUACGGACAAAGGGCAGCGAACUCGCGAGGGCAAGCAAAUCCCAUAAACCGUGGCUCAGUUCAGAUCGUAGGCUGCAACUCGCCUACGUGAAGGAGGAAUCGCUAGUAAUCGCAGGUCAGCAUACUGCGGUGAAUACGUUCCCGGGCCUUGUACACACCGCCCGUCACACCAUGGAAGUUAGCCACGCCCGAAGUCGUUACUCCAACCCUUGUGGAGGAGGAUGCCGAAGGUGGGGCUGAUGACUGGGGUGAAGUC